AAGUCGUAACAAGGUUUCCGUAGGUGAACCUGCGGAAGGAUCAUUACCGAGAGUUGUAGGCUUCUGUCUACCACCUCUUACCCAUGUCUUUUGCGUACUUAACGUUUCCUCGGCAGGUCCGCCUGCCGUAGGACAAUUAUAAACCAUUUGCAGUUGCAGUCAGCGUCUGAAAAACAUAAUAAUUACAACUUUUAACAACGGAUCUCUUGGUUCUG
rnacentral:misc_RNA from 1 species